rnacentral:rRNA from 1 species
AGUCGAGCGAGUCUGCCUUGAAGAUCGGAGUGCUUGCACUCUGUGAAACAAGAUACAGGCUAGCGGCGGACGGGUGAGUAACACGUGGGUAACCUGCCCAAGAGAUCGGGAUAACACCUGGAAACAGAUGCUAAUACCGGAUAACAACAGAUGAUGCCUAUCAACUGUUUAAAAGAUGGUUCUGCUAACACUCUUGGAUGGACCUGCGGUGCAUUAGCUAGUUGGUAGGGUAACGGCCUACCAAGGCGAUGAUGCAUAGCCGAGUUGAGAGACUGAUCGGCCACAUUGGGACUGAGACACGGCCCAAACUCCUACGGGAGGCAGCAGUAGGGAAUCUUCCACAAUGGACGCAAGUCUGAUGGAGCAACGCCGCGUGAGUGAAGAAGGGUUUCGGCUCGUAAAGCUCUGUUGUUGGUGAAGAAGGACAGGGGUAGUAACUGACCUUUGUUUGACGGUAAUCAAUUAGAAAGUCACGGCUAACUACGUGCCAGCAGCCGCGGUAAUACGUAGGUGGCAAGCGUUGUCCGGAUUUAUUGGGCGUAAAGCGAGUGCAGGCGGCUCGAUAAGUCUGAUGUGAAAGCCUUCGGCUCAACCGGAGAAUUGCAUCAGAAACUGUCGAGCUUGAGUACAGAAGAGGAGAGUGGAACUCCAUGUGUAGCGGUGAAAUGCGUAGAUAUAUGGAAGAACACCGGUGGCGAAGGCGGCUCUCUGGUCUGUUACUGACGCUGAGGCUCGAAAGCAUGGGUAGCGAACAGGAUUAGAUACCCUGGUAGUCCAUGCCGUAAACGAUGAGUGCUAAGUGUUGGGAGGUUUCCGCCUCUCAGUGCUGCAGCUAACGCAUUAAGCACUCCGCCUGGG